AUGUUCAACUCCUUAUCAAGGCAGAAGUGCAAAAAUGGCAACAAAGGGGUGUGCACAUAUUGUAUAGACAUCGUCUUAUACGCACAGGCUACAAGGCAGGCAACCUCAAAUCUGCAAUGAGCUGUGAUUAUGUAAAAGAUUAUGAAUUUGUGGCAAUAUUUGAUGCAGAUUUUCAGCCAGGACCUGAUUUCUUGAAGAAAACUAUUCCUUACUUCAAGGGGAAUGAUGACCUAGCAUUGGUCCAAACAAGGUGGGCCUUUGUAAACAAGGAUGAGAACUUGCUUACAAGACUGCAGAACAUAAACUUAUCAUUCCACUUUGAGGUUGAGCAGCAA
rnacentral:misc_RNA from 1 species